UUGAACGCUGGCGGCAGGCCUAACACAUGCAAGUCGAGCGGAUGAAGAGAGCUUGCUCUCUGAUUCAGCGGCGGACGGAUGAGUAAUGCCUAGGAAUCUGCCUGGUAGUGGGGGACAACGUCUCGAAAGGGACGCUAAUACCGCAUACGUCCUACGGGAGAAAGCAGGGGACCUUCGGGCCUUGCGCUAUCAGAUGAGCCUAGGUCGGAUUAGCUAGUUGGUGAGGUAAUGGCUCACCAAGGCGACGAUCCGUAACUGGUCUGAGAGGAUGAUCAGUCACACUGGAACUGAGACACGGUCCAGACUCCUACGGGAGGCAGCAGUGGGGAAUAUUGGACAAUGGGCGAAAGCCUGAUCCAGCCAUGCCGCGUGUGUGAAGAAGGUCUUCGGAUUGUAAAGCACUUUAAGUUGGGAGGAAGGGUUGUAGAUUAAUACUCUGCAAUUUGACGUUACCGACAGAAUAAGCACCGGCUAACUCUGUGCCAGCAGCCGCGGUAAUACAGAGGGUGCAAGCGUUAAUCGGGAUUACUGGGCGUAAAGCGCGCGUAGGUGGUUUGUUAAGUUGGAUGUGAAAGCCCCGGGCUCAACCUGGGAACUGCAUUCAAAACUGACAAGCUAGAGUAUGGUAGAGGGUGGUGGAAUUUCCUGUGUAGCGGUGAAAUGCGUAGAUACAGGAAGGAACACCAGUGGCGAAGGCGACCACCUGGACUGAUACUGACACUGAGGUGCGAAAGCGUGGGGAGCAAACGGGAUUAGAUACCCUGGUAAUCCACGCCGGUAAACGAUGUCAACUAGCCGUUGGGAGCCUUGAGCUCUUAGUGGCGCAGCUAACGCAUUAAGUUGACCGCCUGGGGAGUACGGCCGCAAGGUUAAAACUCAAAUGAAUUGACGGGGGCCCGCACAAGCGGUGGAGCAUGUGGUUUAAUUCGAAGCAACGCGAAGAACCUUACCAGGCCUUGACAUCCAAUGAACUUUCCAGAGAUGGAUUGGUGCCUUCGGGAGCAUUGAGACAGGUGCUGCAUGGCUGUCGUCAGCUCGUGUCGUGAGAUGUUGGGUUAAGUCCCGUAACGAGCGCAACCCUUGUCCUUAGUUACCAGCACGUAAUGGUGGGCACUCUAAGGAGACUGCCGGUGACAAACCGGAGGAAGGUGGGGAUGACGUCAAGUCAUCAUGGCCCUUACGGCCUGGGCUACACACGUGCUACAAUGGUCGGUACAGAGGGUUGCCAAGCCGCGAGGUGGAGCUAAUCCCAUAAAACCGAUCGUAGUCCGGAUCGCAGUCUGCAACUCGACUGCGUGAAGUCGGAAUCGCUAGUAAUCGCGAAUCAGAAUGUCGCGGUGAAUACGUUCCCGGGCCUUGUACACACCGCCCGUCACACCAUGGGAGUGGGUUGCACCAGGAGUAGCUAGUCUAACCUUCGGGAGGACGGUUACCACGGUGUGAUUCAUGACUGGGGUG
rnacentral:rRNA from 1 species